AGUGAACGCUGGCGGUUGGCCUAACGCAUGCAAGUCGAACGGCAGCACAGUAAGAGCUUGCUCUUACGGGUGGCGAGUGGCGGACGGGUGAGGAAUACAUCGGAAUCUACUUUUUCGUGGGGGAUAACGUAGGGAAACUUACGCUAAUACCGCAUACGACCUACGGGUGAAAGCAGGGGAUCUUCGGACCUUGCGCGAUUGAAUGAGCCGAUGUCGGAUUAGCUAGUUGGCGGGGUAAAGGCCCACCAAGGCGACGAUCCGUAGCUGGUCUGAGAGGAUGAUCAGCCACACUGGAACUGAGACACGGUCCAGACUCCUACGGGAGGCAGCAGUGGGGAAUAUUGGACAAUGGGCGCAAGCCUGAUCCAGCCAUACCGCGUGGGUGAAGAAGGCCUUCGGGUUGUAAAGCCCUUUUGUUGGGAAAGAAAAGCAGCAGGUUAAUACCCCGCUGUUCUGACGGUACCCAAAGAAUAAGCACCGGCUAACUUCGUG
rnacentral:rRNA from 1 species